rnacentral:rRNA from 1 species
UACGGAGGGGGCUAGCGUUGUUCGGAAUCACUGGGCGUAAAGCGCACGUAGGCGGAUUGCUAAGUCAGGGGUGAAAUCCUGGAGCUCAACUCCAGAACUGCCUUUGAUACUGGCGAUCUUGAGUCCGGGAGAGGUGAGUGGAACUGCGAGUGUAGAGGUGAAAUUCGUAGAUAUUCGCAAGAACACCAGUGGCGAAGGCGGCUCACUGGCCCGGUACUGACGCUGAGGUGCGAAAGCGUGGGGAGCAAACAGG